GAAAUGCUUUUCUGGUAGGUGCAAAUUCACCUAAUUUAUGCCCGAUCAUAUCUUCUGUAAUUUUUACAUUGGCAUAUGAUUUACCAUUAUGAACCAUAAAUUGAGCACUAGAAUUUAGUUAGUUAACGUCCACACUUGCUAAAUACGAGUAUCAUACCCAACCAUUCUAGGUAAAAUAGUUGCAGAUCGCACAGCUGUUUUUAUAGGAACGUUUCCUUUAAUACAUUGCUGAACGUUGACACCGAAAUCGACCACGUUGGGUCCUAUAAUGUCAGAAUAACAGGUUCUAAAUUAUUUUCAAAACAAGUAUAUUUAUAUUCAUUUACCUUUCCAGACUGACCGAGCUCUGGCUACACUAGUCCAAAACAUGAGGUGAAAUGUUAGAAAGCUAGUUAAUUGCUAAUGCAGCAAUCGUUAAUA